ACCCUCUCAGGAUAACACCUGGAGAGUUUACAGCACUCUACCAGUCUCUACUACAAGAGGGAAAGUCAAGAAGAGGCAUACCCAUUCCAUUCCUAUCUUGGGCAGAUAGUGAGUGGAAGGCAAUCUGCUACAAGU